GACAGAGGGUGCAAACGUUGCUCGGAAUCACUGGGCGUAAAGGGCGUGUAGGCGGGAAUGUAAGUCGGGCGUGAAAUCCCUAGGCUCAACCUAGGAACUGCACUCGAAACUGCGUUUCUUGAGUAUCGGAGAGGAAAGCGGAAUACCUGGUGUAGAGGUGAAAUUCGUAGAUAUUCGGAGGAACACCAGUGGCGAAGGCGGCUCACUGGCUCGAUACUGACGCUGAGGUGCGAAAGCGUGGGGAGCAAACAGG
rnacentral:rRNA from 1 species